rnacentral:rRNA from 1 species
AAAGAAACCAACAGGGAUUGCCUCAGUAACGGCGAGUGAAGCGGCAACAGCUCAAAUUUGAAAUCUGGCCUCUUUUGGGGUCCGAGUUGUAAUUUGUAGAGGAUGUUUCGGGUACCGCUCCGGUUUAAAUUUCUUGGAACAGAAUGUCAGAGAGGGUGAGAAUCCCGUCUUGGACCGGCGGUAGGGCCCAUGUGAAACUCCUUCGACGAGUCGAGUUGUUUGGGAAUGCAGCUCAAAAUGGGUGGUAAAUUUCAUCUAAAGCUAAAUAUUGGCCAGAGACCGAUAGCGCACAAGUAGAGUGAUCGAAAGAUGAAAAGCACUUUGAAAAGAGAGUUAAACAGUAUGUGAAAUUGUUGAAAGGGAAGCGCUUGCAACCAGACUUGCGCGCGGCGGUUCCCCCUUCCUUUUGGUUGGGUUACUCCGCCGUGUCCAGGCCAACAUCGGUUCUGGGGGCCGGUUAAAGGUCCGGGGAAUGUACCUACCCUUCGGGCGUAGACUUAUAGCCCCGGGCGUCAUGCGACCUCCCGGGACCGAGGAACGCGCUUCGGCUCGGAUGUUGGCGUAAUGGUUGUCAGCGACCCGUCUUGAAACACGGACCAAGGAGUCUAACAUCUAUGCGAGUGUUUGGGUGUCAAACCCGGAACGCGAAAUGAAAGUGAACGGAGGUAGGAAGCUCUUUUGGGCUGCACUAUCGACCGAUCCUGAUGUCUUCGGAUGGAUUUGAGUAAGAGCAUAGCUGUUGGGACCCGAAAGAUGGUGAACUAUGCCUGAAUAGGGUGAAGCCAGAGGAAACUCUGGUGGAGGCUCGCAGCGGUUCUGACGUGCAAAUCGAUCGUCAAAUUUGGGUAUAGGGGCGAAAGACUAAUCGAACCAUCUGGUAGCUGGUUCCUGCCGAA